GGCAGGGCAGGGCUUCCCCCAGCUUUGCCCUAUAGGCCAGGAUUGCGUUCCCACCAGCUUCCUGUGCCCCCACAGAGAACCCAGGCAUCCAGGCUCCCAGCCUCCAGGGCCAUGCCACCAGCAUGUGUGGUCACGUGGGUGGAGCCAUGACAGGAGCCCUGACGCCUGGAUCCUUUUCCAGCGCUGGAAGGGGAAUUGCAUCGUCCCAGGAAAAUGUCUCCUAGAAGGGCCCUGAUGGGGGCGCUGCUCUGCGUCCUGCUACAAGACGCCUGGGUUCUCUUCUCAUCCUCUCCCAGCAACCACUGGCCUAGAGUGCUACAGCUUCGAAGGGACCUUGUAUGGGCAGGCAGAGCUGAGAGACGUGGGCUCGGUCCCCUGUCAGCCAGAGGAGACUGUCUGCAUCCAGGGGACAGUGGCCCUGCAAGUCGCGGGCGGGCAGCCAGCCUGGCUGGUACGGCUCGGCUGUACCACGGGGAGUGGGUUGUGGAUCCAGGGGUCCCAGGUACAAGGGGCCCUUCGUAUCUUCACUGACGUCCAGUUCUGUCGGUCCCAGCUCUGCAACCAGCGCUACCUCAACCGCAGCCUUAGCAUCUCUGCAGACCCUCCAGCCAAUGUCUCGGAGACACUGCAGUGCUACAGCUGCAUCGGGCCAGCCUCUGAGAGCUGCUCCCUGGGCAGGGCUGAGGUCACCAUGUGCGGACUCUAUGACACCCACUGCUCCUCUGGGACGGUCACCGCUGCCAUCGGGUCCUGCUCCCAGUCCUUCUCCAUCAGCAGCUGCCAGGCCCUGAGCUGUGGUGACCGCCUUGAGCUGAGUGACAACCAUGUCACCACAACAGUCACCGUGGACUCGUGUUGUGGCCACAGCCUGUGCAAUCAUGCCAGGACGGAGCACCCCAUGGGCAACCCUCAGGACCCAAACCCCAGCACCAGGACAGAGACCCCCAUGGACAAUUCCCAGGCCCAGAGUACCAAUGCCGCAAUCCUGCCUGUCCCCACCCUGCCCCCUGGUGCCCUCCUGGCACUGCUGGGGAUCCUGGAUCUGUAGAGGUGAGAGGGGCAGCCCCCUGACAUCAUUGGUGUGUGCCUCUUUCUGGUAUCCACAGCUGGGUAGAGCAGGGCCAGCUGAAAGCCCAGACACCUGGAUUCUCUUCCUGUUGUGGGAGGGGAGCGGGGUCUUGGGCGUGAGAGCAGGGGGUGCUGGGAGCCUGGACUCCUGGGAUCUAUUCCUGCAGGGUUGGUUCUAUUAACGCUUCUUCUCUCUUGGUCUUUCCUGAAAUUGCCAUUAAAGUCCUUUAACCAGAA